rnacentral:rRNA from 1 species
GGCCCCGCACAAGCGGUGGAGCAUGUGGUUUAAUUCGAUGAUACGCGAGGAACCUUACCAGGACUUAAAUGUAAGUUGCAUGAUUCAGAAAUGAAUCUUUCUUCGGACUACUUACAAGGUGCUGCAUGGUUGUCGUCAGCUCGUGCCGUGAGGUGUCAGGUUAAGUCCUAUAACGAGCGCAACCCCUAUCGUUAGUUGCCAUCAAGUAAAGUUGGGAACUCUAGCGAAACUGCCGGUGCAAACCGUGAGGAAGGUGGGGAUGACGUCAAAUCAUCACGGCCCUUACGUUCUGGGCCUACACACGUGCUACAAUGGUAUCUACAACAGGAAGCAAACGGCAACGUUAAGCA